rnacentral:misc_RNA from 1 species
UUUGUUUCUCUGAAAUUGUUUAGGAGUGUUUGGCGACGGCUUCCCUCUCUCUCCCGCGGUCGGUCUGCCGCUUCGGUUCACAUCUUUCUUCCCCAACUCACCUCUGCUCUACUGAGCACUUGGGUGCGGUACGCAAGGAUCCCUUUGGCUGGAUUGGAGAGUGCCUGUAGCAUUACGACGCCUGCGUACGUGCACUCGUGUGAGCGGCGACAAUGCAGCAACAGUUCAACGCAGCGCGAAACGGUACCAAUCACGUGGUCGAGGACGCCGUGAGCGCGGUACUUAGCAGUGCGGCAGUGGAGCGACGGCCCAACCCUCACGCCAUUGGGUUUGUACGGUCGAACUCGUACGCACUAAGCACCCGGGACACAACGUACGCUGUCCCUGAUUUUUUCCCGGUAGGUGGCGUGGCAUGGCCAGAGACGCUGUUGGAGCUGUGGAAGUCGAUGCGCUACGGAUCCCUCACCGGCGUGUUUGCCGACUUGUCCCGUGCGUGGUUCACUGUAGACAACAGGCUCGUCAUCUGGGACUACCGUGGCGGUCGCGAGUUCUGUGUCUACGAUGAGAUUUCGGAGAUGAUCAGCGUUGUCGGCUCUCCGCUUCGGCCGCUGAGUGGCAUCUUCCAGCCGCACGUAACAUACAUCAUUCCUGUGGGCACCACCAGCAUGAUGUUUCUCUUGGGUCUUUGCAUCCUGGGCGAGGGAGCGCUGGCGGAAAUGAAGGUUGUCAAUCUGGGGUACAGCUGCUCCACUGACACCGUGAUAACGAAGGCGAUCGGCAGCAGCGGCCGCGUGUUCUGCGCAGGUGCGGACGGAAAUGUGUAUGAGUUGCGCUACAUGCGUGAGAAUACCCCCAUCACGCCCAAGAUACGCAUGGUGAAUUACGGCUAUUGGUUCUCGAGCGCCCCCAUCCUCGGCCAGGUGACAUUGGCUGUUGCGAAUGUGUGGCAGUCGUGGCGAGGUAGCGGACAUGGUGGGCUCAUUGAUCUCGUCGUGGACGAGCGUGACGGCAUCUUGGCUACGUUAUGUGAACGCAGCACGAUUAGUCUGUGGCGCCUGAACCCCAGUGGUGGCAUAAGGUACAUGUUCUCUCUUCGCCAUCGGCCCGAUCGACUGCCGCGCUCUCACUCCGCCCCUCAUGUUGAAUCAGCGCCACUGACGCGGUUGUUUGUGAUAGAAGCAGAUGCGCAAGGGUGCCGGCUUAUGUCCACCGCCCUCAAUGGGGAUCAGUUUCGCUAUCGCUACAUCAACGCAUUCGAUUCUGUCUUCAGCGGUGAGCUCAUUCUGCAAUCGCACACGCCUUCGUACUUGUCGGCAAACAAAGAAAUCAGUGUCUGCUACGCUUCCGCGUCAGUCUUCUUGGCUGCCUUCAGCGACAUGAACGACGACCGAGCCUCCGAUGAAGUGCUUGCCGCCACCUCCCCUGCCACGGUGAUGGCGCCGCAUCAAAAUGUGCGGGACAUCGUGGCAUCCUUCAGUGGUCCAUCCUCGCGUAUUGUGCGAGUCGAUGCGAUCGAUCGGAUGCCGACGCAGGGCCCGCAAAACCUUUCUGACUUGUGCGCACAGGUUUGCUCACCCAGACCGACCUACGUCGUGGUGCAUCGCCAUGGCCUGUCACUCUUUGCUCAAGCCCGCCCUGUCGACACGCUGUACCUGAUUCUGUCGACAAACGAUGCGGACUACCGCGACAGUCUGCUCAGUCGCUUCACGUCCGUGUACAGCGCCCCCGACUACGCGGCGAUGCUCCUUCAGGUUGCCGUUGGCGCUUUGAACGUAACGACGGAGCACCCACUACCGUUCACGAAGGACUCGGCGCUUUCGAGCAGCCACGACGAUGGGGCGGCAUUGAAUGAGCUAGGCCAACAGCUGGUGAAUGGAAGAAACGCUGAAGUGCUGCGACGAGCACGCGAACUGCUGCGUAACCUACAGCUCCCUGCGACGCAAGCGGCGCCGGCGAGUGGCGUAACGGAUGCGGAGGUUCAACAUGUCGUCGUUCUCAUGUCGCCGUUUGCAACGGGGCUCGUCGCCUUUGUUGCCCGAGCGUUGUGUCUGCUGUGGAAUACGGGAGUGGGCAAGAUCACGCAGAGUAGCGCCACCUCCGCGGUACGGGUACUCGAAAAGGUCAUCCAGUACUUGGACAGCCUGUCUAUUGGCAGAUCACCGGAGCACCAGCGGACGGUGAGCUUUCAGCACGAGUGGCAGGCGGACAAGGUUGUCGUGAUGGUGCCGCGCGGCCGGAGCUUGCGCGCCGAGGACGUAAAGAAGCUACAGGGGGCCAUGCUGUACAAGUGCUAUGAACUGACGCACAAGGCGUGGCAGGCGGCGACACUGCUGCAGCGUAUGCUUGGCAUCCCGUUUUACUCUGAAGACGCAUCGGUGGCGUUUGCGCAGGUGGUGCGAGACUCGGCGGUCGCGCAGCGGCUUGGACAUUAUCUGAGUCAGGUGAUGCUAGACUCCCAGUAUGGCAUCAGCGCUGGAUCUGGACUCCAAGCAGCCUCGUUCGCGCAGCUGCAGCGACAGUGCCCGUACUUUUUCGGCGGCAUCAGCUCGGAUGCCUAUCAGCUUCAGAGCGACAUGAGAUCCUUGACACGUGGCGAGUCUCUUCAAUCCUACACGGAGGCACAGAUGCAUAAGUGGGCUACCGAGGUAGGCGCUAAGGCCGCGACGUACUGGCCAUCCGGCGCGCUUCAGAGCAUCUGCGAGCAGCUGCGGAGCCUGAAAUACGAGAAUGUGGCGGUGGAGCUGUUGCUGCACGCGGCGGCGCAGCUUGACCCGAACAAUGCGGCGCUGAGCGUUUUUUUGGCGGAUGGUGGCGGCCAUGUGGGCGACCAGGCGCGGUACGGCAACGCCUACUCGCUGCACCAGACCAAGACGCAGGUCCUGGAGCUUGUGGUUUCUACCCUGGAGUCGGCGUGGCUGACGCACCGGAGCGUGGUUGACGACCUCCUCGGCGGCCCGCGCCGUUCCGGCACCAUUUGGCAGGUUGAGCCGUCUGACGAGUACGCGCACUGCUUUCUCUUCGACUGGAUGUGCGCCCCGCGCGACGACAGGAAUACGGCCAAAUUGCUGCGAGAAACGCUUGUAGCGGCGCGCUCCCAGUUUCUCGGCAGCUAUCUGCGACGCAAUGCCGAGGUGCUGACUGAGGAGUAUGCGCACUACCUCGCCAGUGUGCAGGGUGACUACCAUGGCGCGAUGCAGCAGUGCUUCGUGAUGGCCCUGUCGCCGCUUCCCGACACGCCGGUUGCCGACCGGCUUCAGUAUCGCCUCCGGUGCCUGCGCGAGGCUCUCGACUGUGCCAAGAAGUGUCAAUCCGACCAAACGCAGCAGGUGGAGCAGCAGUUGCGAUUGAUGGAGGCGCAGGAGCGACUAUACCGCAUUGCCACCGAGUUCAUCUCUUCCGGCAGUGCCACUCUCGACCGUCGUGUAGAAUGGGAGGGCGAAAUGGUGACGGAGCGUGAUGUCGCCCUGCAGCACAUCGAGUUCUUGUCUAGCUUUGUCGCCUCCGCAAGCGACCUCAUAGAGGUGGGCGGCAUGUAUCCGGCACUGGGUGGCGCAGAGGUGCAGCUGGAUGCGCUGCUUUGCUCCAACGUCACGGAUGCUGGCGUCUAUGCCACCUGCAUCGGCCGUGCCUAUGACAACGAGAAGGACUCGGCGGAGACCAUUACGAAGAGGCUCAUCGACAGGUACUUUCACCAAAUCAGCUGCUUUCCGCUGUCAUACCUGGUGCGGCUGCUAGAGGCUCGCACGUUUCUGCGCUUCCCGGCAGGUUCGACGGAAGUGGUGCAGCUGCUGGUGAGUCUUGGGGUUGACCCAAAGGUUCUCUUCAUCACAUACGAGAGCGUCCUUGAGGGGAGGGACGACACAGGUGUGGGGUGUGUGGAGUUUGACGAGGCCGGUGUGACGCGCGGCUAUCUUGUUUACGCAUACGCCACAGUGCUGGUGUAUCUCGCGGACCUCGGCCGGCGCGGCUCUGUGCAGCAGUGGCUCGUCAGCAACGCCAUGGCCGCCACACGCAGCAUGAUUCGCCGCGCUGCGGGAGCUGUCACAUCGCCAAGUGAGCAGGCGGCGGUGGAGCAGGCGGAGGAGCUGCUGCGAAAAGCCAACACGCUAGCCUCAAGCGGCGUGUGGCUGUAGCGAGCCACCAGGUAGCGGCGCUGUCCGUGAAUAAACUGCUUCUUCAAGGCGUGGAUUUGCCGCGCUUGCUGGCAUUCAGAAAAAGGGACGGAAAGGUGGUGGUUCACUCUCUAGAUUGGUAAUGGAGUGGUAACGUGUGGUGUUUCUCUUCUCGUCUUGUUUUUGUUUUCCUUUGUCGAGAGGGCUCUCCCGCCGUCGAUCGGAAUGGCUGCGGCUGGUUUUGCUCAGCCGACACAACCUCAUUGAAUACGCGCAAGACUCAAGAGCAUGAGAAAUAGCUACUGUGAAAGCGUGAGACUGUGGCUGGCUCAUCGGCCCUGCGGCUAACUUGAAGGAGAAUAAUUCUCUGGGAUAUGCGUGCUCUGUUUUUUUCUUGUUUUCGGUUUAU